GAUCAUGGCUCAGGAUGAACGCUGGCGGCGUGUUAACACAUGCAAGUCGAGCGAGAAGCUCAUGACAGAUACUUCGGUUGAUGGAUUGAGUGGAAAGCGGCGGACGGGUGAGUAACGCGUAGGCAACCUGCCCCGUGCAGAGGGAUAGCCUCGGGAAACCGGGAUUAAAACCUCAUAACGCGCAACCGAGACAUCUCGGAUGCGCCAAAGAUUUAUCGGCACGGGAUGGGCCUGCGUCUGAUUAGUUAGUUGGUGGGGUAACGGCCUACCAAGGCGACGAUCAGUAGCCGACCUGAGAGGGUGAUCGGCCACAUUGGAACUGAGACACGGUCCAAACUCCUACGGGAGGCAGCAGUGGAGAAUCUUGCACAAUGGGCGAAAGCCUGAUGCAGCAACGCCGCGUGAAGGAUGAAGGCCCUUGGGUCGUAAACUUCUGUUCUAAGGGAAGAUAAUGACGGUACCUUAGGAGCAAGUCCCGGCUAACUACGUGCCAGCAGCCGC
rnacentral:rRNA from 1 species